CGUAACAAGGUCUCCGUUGGUGAACCAGCGGAGGGAUCAUUACCGAGUUUACAACUCCCAAACCCCUGUGAACAUACCUUAAUGUUGCCUCGGCGGAUCAGCCCGCGCCCCGUAAAACGGGACGGCCCGCCAGAGGACCCAAACUCUAAUGUUUCUUAUUGUAACUUCUGAGUAAAACAAACAAAUAAAUCAAAACUUUCAACAACGGAUCUCUUGGUUCUGGCAUCGAUGAAGAACGCAGCAAAAUGCGAUAAGUAAUGUGAAUUGCAGAAUUCAGUGAAUCAUCGAAUCUUUGAACGCACAUUGCGCCCGCUGGUAUUCCGGCGGGCAUGCCUGUUCGAGCGUCAUUUCAACCCUCAAGCCCCCGGGUUUGGUGUUGGGGAUCGGCUCUGCCUUACGGCGGUGCCGCCCCCGAAAUACAUUGGCGGUCUCGCUGCAGCCUCCAUUGCGUAGUAGCUAACACCUCGCAACUGGAACGCGGCGCGGCCAUGCCGUAAAACCCCAACUUCUGAAUGUUGACCUCGGAUCAGGUAGGAAUACCCGCUGAACUUAAGCAUAUCAA
rnacentral:rRNA from 1 species